rnacentral:tRNA from 1 species
GAUAUAAUGGCUCAGACGGUAAAGCGUCUGCCUGCAACGCGGGAGACCCAGGUUUGAUCCCUGGGUCA